rnacentral:rRNA from 1 species
UACGAAGGGGGCUAGCGUUGCUCGGAAUGACUGGGCGUAAAGGGCGCGUAGGCGGUUUGUACAGUCAGACGUGAAAUUCCCGGGCUCAACCUGGGGGCUGCGUUUGAUACGUGCGAGCUCGAGUUCGGAAGAGGGUCGUGGAAUUCCCAGUGUAGAGGUGAAAUUCGUAGAUAUUGGGAAGAACACCGGUGGCGAAGGCGGCGACCUGGUCCGAGACUGACGCUGAGGCGCGAAAGCGUGGGGAGCAAACAGG